rnacentral:misc_RNA from 1 species
GUCGUGAGUGCUGCGGGCGCAAGCCGGCUCGCUUUAAAUGGAUGAGUCGUCUGGCAUGUGUCCUUACAAGCGUGAUAGUUAUUUCGUUUGUCGCGUGUUUAGAUGGCUUUCUAACUCGGACGGAUUGGGGAGCGCGGUGGCGACCCUCAAGCGGCCAUUUUACAGACCUCAAAUCAGGUAGGACUACCCGCUGAACUUAA